rnacentral:rRNA from 1 species
GGACGGGUGAGUAACGCGUAGGGAUCUGUCCAUGGGUGGGGGAUAACUUUGGGAAACUGAAGCUAAUACCGCAUGACACCUGAGGGUCAAAGGCGCAAGUCGCCUGUGGAGGAACCUGCGUUCGAUUAGCUAGUUGGUGGGGUAAAGGCCUACCAAGGCGAUGAUCGAUAGCUGGUCUGAGAGGAUGAUCAGCCACACUGGGACUGAGACACGGCCCAGACUCCUACGGGAGGCAGCAGUGGGGAAUAUUGGACAAUGGGCGCAAGCCUGAUCCAGCAAUGCCGCGUGUGUGAAGAAGGUUUUCGGAUUGUAAAGCACUUUCAGCGGGGACGAUGAUGACGGUACCCGCAGAAGAAGCCCCGGCUAACUUCGUGCCAGCAGCCGCGGUAAUACGAAGGGGGCAAGCGUUGCUCGGAAUGACUGGGCGUAAAGGGCGCGUAGGCGGUUGACACAGUCAGGUGUGAAAUUCCCGGGCUUAACCUGGGGUCUGCAUUUGAUACGUGGCGACUAGAGUGUGAGAGAGGGUUGUGGAAUUCCCAGUGUAGAGGGUGAAAUUCGUAGAUAUUGGGAAGAACACCGGGUGGCGA